UUCACUGCAUGUCUUAAUAAAACCAAUGGCAAAUGUAUCUGUUAUAUGAACAUGUUAUUCAACUGAACUGGAUUUAUUAAACAAAGUUUUGGGAGAGAAAUUUUCAGACAUCCCCCGAUGUGAUUACCUUAACUUUCUCCAAUUUCCCCGAACAGAAGAAAUGGCCACGUGCCUCGUCUCCCUUCUCCCCAUUAAUUCUGUGGUUUUUAUUAAUAAGGUAUUUACAUGAUUUGUGUCUCUGUGAGAAUGCAUGAAUAUACAGAUUAACAUUGGGAUGUUAGUGUGCAUAUAAA